rnacentral:tRNA from 1 species
AAUAAUAUGCCUGAUAAAAGGAUUGUUAUGAUAUAACAAAUAAUGCAUAAAAAGCUAUUAUUU